rnacentral:lncRNA from 1 species
CACAGGCCACAGGCCGGGGGGUGGGCCCGGGCCCUGCGGAGUGGGCGGGUCUGAGCGGGUUGGAACGUCCCGCCGGCUUCACCGCAGGCCGGCAUCUCAGCCUCAGGCCCCACAGCGGGUCUCCCGUCUCCACCCUCGCGGGCUCUGCAGGGCUGGGGCUGCUCCUGAGUUUCUGGUAAGGCCUUCGGGAGUCCCAGCUCUGCGGAGACCAAAGCCCCCACAUCCUCGGCAGAGCCCGGGCGAGUGCCCCGCGGGUGGCGGCGGCUGUGGGGCCGUCUGGGAUUCUCCGCAGCACUGACCCUGCAACCUCCUGUGUCUGCGCUUCGUGGUGAGGGGCGGCGGGAUGCGCGCGAUCCCUUUUUGACUCAGCCAAACGGAAAAGCUCGCGCGUCCCGGCUGGAAGGUGGAGGUCAGGCAGGACCCGGCAAAGGCACAUUCCAAACGAAGCAGACCCCAUUCCUCACCUGCAGAGGGAAGGCGGUGUGGACGGACAGAAACGGCCCUCACAGCCACAGAACCACCGCGGCCACAGCAGCGCGGCGUCCGGCAGGGAGCGGACCGUGGUGGAGGCCUCUGAGCCGAGCAGGCCACGCAGACCCGGGAGGCGCUGAAGCGGGCGCAGCUGCGCCCUGGAGCAGGCAGACCAGGCCACGGCGGAGGGAGAGGCCCGGGGACGCGGCGCAGCCCCUGCGGAGAGGCACGGGGGCGGCGGGGACGCCCUCCCACUGGCUGAAAUGCCAGGGACCGGCCUGGGCGUGGAGCAGCCGGGGCGAGCCCGCCUCCAGGCACCGCCGGCUGCCCUAGGCAGGGCCUGCAGGAGUGGCCCGGAGCCGGGCACCGAGGCACCGAGGCGGGGACCUGGAGGGGGCAUUCGGUGCUGACUACAGGUCUACAGUCUAAGUCCAGCGCCUGAAGCUGAGGUGUGUGGAUUCCACACUGAUCGUGUCCCCUACACGCUCAUCUUCCGUGUACAGAACGGAGACUCCUUCCUCCACCUACCCAGAGACGCCUGUGUAACUGACUCUUCCUUUACUCCCUUUCCCUCGCCGGUCAUUCGCCUUACCUUAUGGAAAGUGUAAAUUAGGCACUGAGGAACGUCUCACAGGAAUGCAGCCUUCAGCCUUCCUGCCUGCUGGCCCCUCUUCCUACCUGCCCCCGGCCCCGCUUAAGGAAAUGCGCCAACAGGAAGCCUCCUGAAAAGCUCUUUGGAGAAACAGCCGCAGCUGUGUCUGUGGCUGGUGUUUUUCCCAGGUGAACCCUAAAGCUGGCUUGAAAAACCUAAAUGAGCCGAGUGCAGUGGCUCACGCCUGUAAUCCCAGCACUUUGGGAGGCCGAGGUGGGUGGAUCACCUCAGGUCAGGAGUUCAAGACCAGCCUGGCUAACAUGGCGAAAGUCCAUCUCUACUAAAUAUACAAAAAUUAGCCGGGUGUGGUGGUGCAUGUCUAUAGUCCCAGCUACUCAGGAGGCUGAGACAGGAGAAUCGCUUGAGCCCGGGAGGCAGAGGUUGCAGUGAGCCAAGAUCAUGCCACUGCCCUCCAACCUGGGUGACAAGAGGGAGACUCCAUUCUUCCAAGAGGGAGAAUUUUAAUUCAUGUUGUUUUAGAGUCCAUUUAUGCCAUCACAAUUGAUGUUUUACAUUUAUUUAUUUUCUUUUCUCCUAUUUUGCUUUCCAUUAAAUAGAAAAAAGAAAAACCUCCAUGAUCGAGACUUAAGCCUCAGUUGCUCAUUUCACUCGUCAAACCCAUAGUCGCAUCUUCUGAUUUAUGACAAACUUAUGUCCUAGGGACCAGGGGCUCCUGCAGAUGCAGCAUCUCAAGGAACCUGGCCAAUGCGGAUGUGGUGUUUGUAGAGGCGCAGGUUCCAUUCCAACACACGCUCAAGCCCUGCUGUGCAACGUGAGCUCUCCCGGCGGCACACUGGCUAUCCCGGCCCUUGACUCGUCUCUGCUGUCCUUCCUCUUCUCAACAUGUGUCUCCCAAAAGGAUGAAAACACUGCUUCUUUUUGAGAGCUCUCAUGUGAGACGGAAAGUGCUAUUGAAAGGGGGACGGAUCCGUGACCUGCAUGACCAGCGUUCACCCAGCACAGGACAUCACCCAGUGCAUCGCUGCGAGCGGUGGCGUGGAGGGGCCCAUGCUCCUCUGGGAGAACUGGGGGAGAACCGGGACCCCCGGAGGCAGCCAGAGCUCGGACCCCUGGCCAUGGGGGAGGAGGGAAGGAGGGCCACACCCAGAACGCCCUGAGGCUGCAAGAGAGGCAGGCCUGGGGCAUUGAACCAGGGGCUGCAGUGAAGAAAGGGGAGAAGUCUGAGAUCCAAAAUGCAAAAACCACAGGGAAGCAGCGGGCAGGUGCUGGGGCCGGGGCUGGGGCAGGCGCAGGGGCAGGGGCAGGUGCAGGGGCUGGGCAGGCGCAGGGGCAAGUGCAGGGACAGGCUCAGGGGCGG